GCCCCUGUAGCGUAAUGGAGAGCGCUUUGGACUUGUCAUCCAAAGAUCGUGGGCUCAAAGCCCACAUGGGAUG